GUGCCUAUAGCUCAGUGGACAGAGCGCUUGCCUCCGGAGCAAGAGGUCCCAGGUUCGAAUCCUGGUAGGCACGCCAGUG
rnacentral:tRNA from 1 species